AAAACAACUCUCGGCAACGGAUAUCUCGGCUCUCGCAUCGAUGAAGAACGUAGCGAAAUGCGAUACUUGGUGUGAAUUGCAGAAUCCCGUGAACCAUCGAGUCUUUGAACGCAAGUUGCGCCCCAAGCCUUCUGGCCGAGGGCACGUCUGCCUGGGUGUCACAA
rnacentral:rRNA from 1 species